rnacentral:tRNA from 1 species
GGCCGGUUGGCCCAAUGGCAAGGCGUCUGACUACGACUCAUCAGUUAUCAGGAGAUUCUGGGUUCGACCCCCAGGCUGGUCA